rnacentral:rRNA from 1 species
GACGAACCGUGCGAACGUUGUUCGGAAUCACUGGGCUUAAAGGGCGCGUAGGCGGCUUGCCAAGUCAGAGGUGAAAUCCUGCAGCUUAACUGUAGAAGGGCCUUUGAUACUGGCGAGCUCGAGGGAGGUAGGGGUAUGUGGAACUUCCGGUGGAGCGGUGAAAUGCGUUGAUAUCGGAAGGAACGCCGGUGGCGAAAGCGACGUACUGGACCUCUUCUGACGCUGAGGCGCGAAAGCUAGGGGAGCAAACAGG